AUUGAACGCUGGCGGCAGGCCUAACACAUGCAAGUCGAGCGGGGUUUUCGGACCUAGCGGCGGACGGGUGAGUAAUGCGUAGGAAGCUGCCCGAUAGAGGGGGAUACCAGUUGGAAACGACUGUUAAUACCGCAUAAUGUCUACGGACCAAAGUGUGGGACCUUCGGGCCACAUACUAUCGGAUGCGCCUACGUGGGAUU
rnacentral:rRNA from 1 species